rnacentral:rRNA from 1 species
CCUACGGUGCGCAGCAGUGGGGAAUAUUGGACAAUGGGGGGAACCCUUAUCCAGCGACGCCGCGUGAGUGAAGAAGUAUUUCGGUAUGUAAAGCUCUAUCAGCAGGGAAGAAAAUGACGGUACCUGAGUAAGAAGCCCCGGCUAACUACGUGCCAGCAGCCGCGGUAAUACGUAGGGGGCAAGCGUUAUCCGGAUUUACUGGGUGUAAAGGGAGCGUAGACGGCAGCACAAGUCUGGAGUGAAAUCCCGGGGCUUAACCCCGGAACUGCUUUGGAAACUGUGCGGCUGGAGUGCAGGAGGGGUAAGCGGAAUUCCUAGUGUAGCGGUGAAAUGCGUAGAUAUUAGGAGGAACACCGGUGGCGAAGGCGGCUUACUGGACUGUCACUGACGUUGAGGCUCGAAAGCGUGGGGAGCAAACAGGAUUAGAUACCCGAGUAGUC